rnacentral:rRNA from 1 species
GAUGAACGCUGGCGGCGUGCCUAAUACAUGCAAGUCGAGCGAACGGACGAGAAGCUUGCUUCUCUGAUGUUAGCGGCGGACGGGUGAGUAACACGUGGAUAACCUACCUAUAAGACUGGGAUAACUUCGGGAAACCGGAGCUAAUACCGGAUGAUAUUUUGAACCGCAUGGUUCAAAAGUGAUAGACGGUCUUGCUGUCACUUAUAGAUGGAUCCGCGCUGCAUUAGCUAGUUGGUAAGGUAACGGCUUACCAAGGCAACGAUGCAUAGCCGACCUGAGAGGGUGGUCGGCCACGCAGGAACUGAGACACGGUCCAGACUCCUACGGGAGGCAGCAGUAGGGAAUCUUCCGCAAUGAGCGAAAGCCUGACGGAGCAACGCCGCGUGAGGGAUGAAGGUCUUCGGAUCGUAAAACUCUGUUAUUAAGGAAGAACAUAUGUGUAAGUAACUGUGCACAUCUUGACGGUACCUAAUCAGAAAGCCGCGGCUGACUACGUG